GCCACCACUUGCGUGUGGGUCCCACGGCCUUCCGCUGCCUGAUCAGGAACGUGGCUCUGGGCACAGCCCCUCUCCCCUCCGUGCCUUUGACCUUCCUUUGCAACAAGCUGACCUCCAUGAUCAUGGAAACUUACUCAGGACCCUCCGCAUCAAGAUGGGGGCAGAGGCCCAGGAAUGUUCCCCUCUUCCCACUCUCCUCAUUAAGAGCCACACUUCCUAGAAGAGCUACCGGUCAUCUACACCCACAUCUCCUGCUUUCUUGCUUUUAACUCACUCCUCAAACUCCCUUGGGAAAGCUUCCAGCCCAUCCUGCCAUCCAGACCAUCAACAUUGACCUAGUUAUGCUAAACUCAAAGGCCUUUUCAGAGUAUCCUCUUUCAGGGUCCUUCCACAGUCUGAUGCAUUUCCUUCUCCUUGGAGCCCAGCCACAGAGAAGGCAGCCUGAGUGCUGGAAAGCCAAGGUCUGAGCUUUUUGUCCCAACAUACAGCAGGCCCGGGGUCCCCACUGCCUACAGCAUAAAUGGCCAGCUUUAUAGUGCGUUCCUCCCUCUUGGACAAAAGAAUGCUGGCUCUGAGGGCACUAAGGAAGGAGAAGAGGCAUGACUGUCAGCUUUUCCUUUGCAGGUUCCCCUCUGCCUCCUUCCCGCCUCACCCUCUGCCCAGGCGUGCUGGCUUCCCACAGCUCCUACUGAGAUUCUGUUUGCCUCCACAGGGCAGCGCCACGCCUGCCCCCCGAGUGGACGCAUGGCCUCUCCGCUGUGCCUGGUACACCCAGCAGUGACCACACAGGCCCUGGCGCUCAGCAAUUACUCGCUGGAUGGACAUAAAUAUUCUCAGCGAGGCAUUUUGAGAAGGACAGAGGAGGCUACAGCCCCUCCUGCAUGGGGAAAGAAGAGUGGGAGCCUCUUGUGGCCACCUCUCCCCGCGCACACCCUCUUGACCGCAUGCCCAAGGCCCCAGGACCAACGUCUGGAGCUUCUCAUCUGUGAAUCGGGGAUGACAACUGCACCCCGCCCCCCGCCACCGCAGUACCGCAGGCUUCCCACAAGACAACACAGGCACGGUGCGUGGCGUGGGGCAGCACACCUCCCAUCGGCUCCGUGAAUAAAGGUUACUUUCCUUGUUACUAGCUUGAAAUUCACUUUUUUUAAAGCAAAUACUUCACUAGAACCACGACUCUGGGACUGUAGCCCCGCUUACCUGGGCAAGCCCCCGAGGUCCAUCUCACUGCAGAUGUAGCGGCCUGGACGCAGAAUCACCCACAGCCCGAUCUCUGCGGCCAUCAGGACGAAGGCCCUAGGGAGGUCCACAUCGUCAGCCCCUCCCACGACGGCCCAGGAUGAGGCCGGGUGGGGGCCACACGCAUCACAGGGUGGAGGAGCUGCCUGGUGGGGCGAAGGGACGGCUCGGCCCCACCCCCAAAGCGUGGGGACUCCCACACCAGGUCGGUGGCCUGAGCUGCUCCCAGCCUCAGAGCCUCUGCACAGCCCCAUCGGGGGCCUGAGGAGGAAGGGUGACACCCAGGGCUCAGUGGUCUCAACAGUGAACCUGACCCCAUAGCCUUGCUAGCCUAGAGGGGCCGCCCUGCCCCAGCCCAGGCGCCAGACCCCAUGCAGAGUCGGGCGGCUCCCAGGGUCUUCUGCCCCUCUGGGCUGCAGUGGAGAGGUGGGGCCCGGAGGCUGCAGGCCCAGUCCCUCUGGGUGACAGGUCACGGUUGGGGAGCGUCUGGGUCCUGGGUGCAGGGCCUCUCACAGUCCUAGAACAGGACUCCAGACCCACGUCCCUCCCUGGUUCUCUUUGGUUGCUAAUCCACCCCCAGUAGCCACCUCUGUGCCCUGCCCCUGACCAGGGCACAGAAGCAGCAACACCACAUACUCCAGGUCCAGGUUCCCAGAGAAGUCAAAUUUGCCUCUUUCUGGCUCAUGCAGGUUCCACGGAA
rnacentral:lncRNA from 1 species